AUUGAACGCCGGCGGCAGGCUUAACACAUGCAAGUCGAGCGGGGAAGGGUAGCUUGCUACCUGACCUAGCGGCGGACGGGUGAGUAAUGCUUAGGAAUCUGCCUAUUAGUGGGGGACAACAUUCCGAAAGGAAUGCCAAUACCGCAUACGCCCUACGGGGGAAAGCAGGGGAUCUUCGGACCUUGCGCUAAUAGAUGAGCCUAAGUCAGAUUAGCUAGUUGGUGGGGUAAAGGCCUACCAAGGCGACGAUCUGUAGCGGGUCUGAGAGGAUGAACCGCCACACUGGGACUGGGACACGGCCCAGACUCCUACGGGGGGCAGCAGUGGGGAAUAUUGGCAAAUGGGCGAAAGCCUGAUCCAGCCAUGCCGCGUGUGUGAAGAAGGCCUUUUGGUUGUAAAGCACUUUAAGCGAGGAGGAAGCUACUUGGAUUAAUACUCUAGGAUAGUGGACGUUACUCGCAGAAUAAGCACCGGCUAACCCUGUGCCAGCAGCCGCAGUAA
rnacentral:rRNA from 1 species